rnacentral:snoRNA from 1 species
GCGAAAACGCCACCACUAACUGCAUGAUGUUGCAGAUGUGAGGGAACCAACCAAGUUUUGCUAAACUAACUGGAGUGAUAGAAAUCGAUUUGCCUUGCACAUUUGCCUUGCACACGGCGGAUGAGGGAUCCAUCCCCGGCAACCC